rnacentral:rRNA from 1 species
UACGUAGGGGGCGAGCGUUGUCCGGAGUUACUGGGCGUAAAGCGCACGCAGGCGGUCUGUUAAGUUUGGAGUGACAGUUGGUGGCUCAACCACCAAAGUGCUUUGAAAACUGAUAGACUUGAGGGCUUCAGAGGGACACGGAAUUCCGGGUGGAGUGGUGAAAUGCGUAGAGAUCCGGAGGAACACCAAAGGCGAAGGCAGUGUCCUGGGGAGUACCGUGACGCUCAGGUGCGAAAGCCAGGGGAGCGAACGGGG